UAUCUCUGUAGAGUCUGCAUAUCAAUAAGCGGAGGAAAAGAAACUAACAAGGAUUCCCUUAGUAACGGCGAGUGAAGCGGGAAGAGCUCAAAUUUGAAAUCUUCAAGGUUCUACCUUGACGAAUUGUAGUUUAAAGAAGUGUUUUCUGUUAGAUGAGUAGCAAAAGUUCCUUGGAAUGGGACAUCAUAGAGGGUGAGAAUCCCGUAUUUGGUUAUUCAUUCUAGCUUUGUGAUACACUUUCAAAGAGUCGGAUUGUUUGGGAAUGCAGUCCAAAAUGGGUGGUAAAUUUCAUCUAAAGCUAAAUAUUGGCGAGAGACCGAUAGCGAACAAGUACCGUGAGGGAAAGAUGAAAAGAACUUUGAAAAGAGAGUUAAACAGUACGUGAAAUUGUCAAAAGGGAAGCGUUUGACACCAGUGUUGUUUUUCCGAAAAUCAAUUACGAAUGGCUUGAUUUUGUGUUGUAUUGACCUUAUCAGCUUUCUGCACUUUUUUCGAGUCUUUCUUAAUGCACUUUUCGGUUAACAAGUCAACAUCAAUUUCUUUUGUUGUAAAAGAGUAUUCGGAAGGUGGCUUUCUUUUCGGAGAAAGUGUUUAUAGCCCUAUACUUCUACAAUCGGAGAGAUUGAGGUCUGCAGCGUAGAUCCUUCGGGGUUAGAUACACUUGUGCUAAGUUGUAGCUUUUCAUAGACAACUUGUUGACUAUGUUUAGUCAUGCGGCUUACUCGCUUGUGCUAUUUUACCUACGCUUAGGAUGUUGACGAGACUGUCGAUCUC
rnacentral:rRNA from 1 species